UGAGUACGAGAUGCUACGGCAUCGAAGCAGUCUAUGUCAUACUUCCAAGAAAAGCUUGCACUGUCAGAAACAGAUAAUGCCUGUACCAUAACCGACACAGGUGGGUAGGUAGAGUAUACUAAGGGGCGCGAGAUAACUCUCUCUAAGGAACUCGGCAAAAUGACUCCGUAACUUCGGGAGAAGGAGUGCCUUAUUUUUAAGGUUGCAAUAACAAGAUCCAAGCAACUGUUUACCAAAAACACAGGUCUCCGCUAAGUCGUAAGACGAUGUAUGGGGGCUGACGCCUGCCCAGUGCCAGAAGGUUAAAGAAGUCGGUUAGCAUUCGCGAAGCUGGUAACUGAAGCCCUGGUGAACGGCGGCCGUAACGAUGACGGUCCUAAGGUAGCGAAAUUCCUUGUCGGGUAAGUUCCGACCCGCACGAAAGGCGUAAUGAUUUGGAUACUGUCUCGGAGAGGGGCUCGGUGAAAUAGACUUGUCUGUGAAGAUGCGGACUACCUGCACCUGGACAGAAAGACCCUAUGAAGCUUUACUGUAACUUGAAAUUGAAAUUGGACUUUAUUUGCGCAGUAUAGGUGGGAGGCGUUGAAAAUAUUCUUGCGGGAAUAUUGGAGCCAUCAGUGAGAUACCACUCUUGUAAUGUUAGAUUUCUAACUUUAUAUCAUUAUCUGGUUAAAGAACAGUUUCAGGCGGGCAGUUUGACUGGGGCGGUCGCCUCCCAAAUGGUAACGGAGGCGCACAAAGGUUUCCUCUGAACGGGUAGAAAUCGUAUCUAGAGUGUAAAGGCAUAAGGAAGCUUGACUGUGAGACCUACAAGUCGAGCAGGGACGAAAGUCGGUCUUAGUGAUCUGACGGUGCUGAGUGGAAAGGCCGUCACUCAACGGAUAAAAGUUACUCUAGGAUAACAGGCUGAUCUCCCCCAAGAGUUCACAUCGACGGGGAGGUUUGGCACCUCGAUGUCGGCUCAUCGCAUCCUGGGGCGGUAGUACGUCCCAAGGGUUGGGCUGUUCGCCCAUGAAAGCGGUACGCGAGCUGGGUUCAGAACGUCGUGAGACAGUUCGGUCCAUAUCCGGUGUAGGCGUUAGAAUAUUGAGAGGAGCCUUCUUUAGUACGAGAGGACCGAGAAGGACAUACCUCUGGUGUACCAGUUAUCGUGCCAACGGUAAACGCGGGGUAGCUAUGUAUGGAGUGGAUAACCGCUGAAAGCAUCUAAGUGGGAAGCCC
rnacentral:rRNA from 1 species